rnacentral:rRNA from 1 species
CAGCAGCCGCGGUAAAACGGAGGGGGCUAGCGUUGUUCGGAAUUACUGGGCGUAAAGCGCACGUAGGCGGCUUGGUAAGUUAGAGGUGAAAGCCUGGAGCUCAACUCCAGAAUUGCCUUUAAGACUGCCGAGCUAGCAGGUGAGAGAGGUAAGUGGAAUUCCGAGUGUAGAGAUGAAAUUCGUAGAUAUUCGGAAGAACACCAGUGGCGAAGGCGGCUUACUGGCUCAUACUGGACGCUGAGGUGCGAAAGCGUGGGGAGCAAACAGGAUUAGAUACCCCGGUAGUCCCUGUCUCUUAUAC